UACGAAGGGUGCAAGCGUUACUCGGAAUUACUGGGCGUAAAGCGUGAGUAGGUGGUUUCUUAAGUCUGCUGUGAAAGCCCCGGGCUCAACCUGGGAAUUGCAGUGGAUACUGGGAAGCUAGAGUGCGGUAGAGGGUAGUGGAAUUCCCGGUGUAGCGGUGAAAUGCGUAGAGAUCGGGAGGAACACCAGUGGCGAAGGCGGCUACCUGGACCAGCACUGACACUGAGUCACGAAAGCGUGGGGAGCAAACAGG
rnacentral:rRNA from 2 species